rnacentral:rRNA from 1 species
UUCUAAGGCCACACCACCCUGAACAUGCCAGAUCUCAUCUGAUCUUGGAAGCUAAGCAGGGUUGGACCUGGUUAGUAUUUGGAUGGGAGAACACAGAGUUUGCUUCUUAAAGA